GUGUCAGCCGCCGCGGUAAGACAUAGGUGGCGAACGUUAUCCGGAAUUACUGGGCGUAAAGAGUGCGUAGGUGGUUUAACUAGUUAUCGGUGGGAAAUCGGGGCCCAACCUCGUGGAAGUCGGUAAUACUGUUAAACUAGAGGGUCGGAGAGGUUAACGGAAUUCUAUGUGUAGCGGUAAAAUGCUCAAAUAUAUAGAGGAACACCAAAAGGCGAAGGCAGUUAACUAUUCGAUUCCUGACGUUGAGGCACGAAAGCGUGGGGAGCAAGACGGAUUAGAUACCCCAGUAGUCC
rnacentral:rRNA from 1 species